rnacentral:rRNA from 1 species
GAAGUGGCAUCUACUUUAUAAUUAAACUUCAGGAGGGUUAUAGAGUGGGCAUGCGUCCGAUUAGCUAGUUGGUGAGGUAACGGCUCACCAAGGCUCCGAUCGGUAGGGGGUCUGAGAGGAUGAUCCCCCACACUGGUACUGAGACACGGACCAGACUCCUACGGGAGGCAGCAGUAAGGAAUAUUGGACAAUGGGCGCAAGCCUGAUCCAGCCAUGCCGCGUGAAGGAUGAAGGCCCUAUGGGUCGUAAACUUCUUUUAUACGGGACAAAACCCCCCGACGUGUCGGGGGUUGAUGGUACUGUAAGAAUAAGGGUCGGCUAACUUCGUG